AUGCCAGAAUCUGUGCAGAUGCCAGAAAACUGUCCGUAUCAGUUUUUUGAGGUGGCAGAAAAAGCUGGAGAGGUACCACCGUUUCGAGGGAAUAAGGUCAGAAUUUACCGGCAGAACCCUUCGCUCUGCGAAGAAAUACGGCGGGACUGUAGGACUCUGGGGCCCGGCUUUCGAAAAGGAGGGAAGAGCUUCUCUCGGCUGGCUGCCUGGCCGCCCGACCCUCUGCGCUUUCCAGGCUACUCACCGGUCCGGGGUGGAAAGCGCCAUCCAGGCGCGCGUGAGGGCUGCGCGGCGCAGGCGGCGGGCAGGGCCGAGCGGUGGCAGCGGCGCUGUCCUAGGAGCGAGACUGGAGCCGGGGGACGCCGAGGCGGCGACAGCGGCGGCGGGGGCGCGGGGAGCUGCGGGCGGGGAGGGCGGCGGAUCCGGAGCUGCUGCGCCGCGCGCGCUCUCUGCCCAUCUCCGGGUCUCUCCCCCGCCACCCCCCCCCUCCUUCCCCCUUCGCGCCCUUUCCUUGGGCUCUUCCUCGCGCGGCUUGGGCUGGGGGUGGCCAGGCUCGGCCGCAGCCGGGUCUUCGGCGCCCUGGUGAGAGUGCUGAGGCCGGGAGGCGGCUGCGCCAGCUCCCGGCGCCGCCGGCCCGAGGCACCUGUGCGCGCCCGCACCGCCGGCAGCCCAAUUGCCGCGGCUCCCCGACUCGGAUCCGCCGGCGGUCGCCUUGCCUCGCUCUCCUUUCUGGUCAGAUUACGAUCAUGCCUGGGCGUCCAUGACAUCUGUGUACUCCUCUAUUGCUGUCUGCUUCCCCAGGCGCUCUUUGGCACAGGGUGUCCGGCCAGAAGGAGCCACCGGCGGGGAACUCGAUGCAGGCAACCGCCGUCAGCUCCUUGGAGCAGUUGCUUGCGCACGGGUGGUAGUGUUUGCCUCCUGGGUAGACCAGCUAAUGAGGCUCCAGAAACAGAGCAGAUGGCAUAUGGACAUGGUUCAAAGCAGCAGAGAUUACAGUUUAUAAGAAGGGACCAGGACCUGCUCUCCUUGAGGCAGGAAGAAGAAAUCACUGGGAUAAAAUAUGAGUCUUUGUAGUUGCAAGUCUUAUCCUUUGGGAUUGUACAAGCAAAAUUCACUGUGGAGG